AAUUAUUUGUCUGAACGGCUAAGUAAAUACCUUGAAAGUAUUCAAAAAAGGUUAAAUUCCUUUAAUAAUUU
rnacentral:tRNA from 1 species